rnacentral:rRNA from 1 species
CGAACGCUGGCGGCGUGCUUAACACAUGCAAGUCGAACGAUGAAGCCUUUCGGGGUGGAUUAGUGGCGAACGGGUGAGUAACACGUGGGCAAUCUGCCCUUCACUCUGGGACAAGCCCUGGAAACGGGGUCUAAUACCGGAUAACACUCUGUCCCGCAUGGGACGGGGUUAAAAGCUCCGGCGGUGAAGGAUGAGCCCGCGGCCUAUCAGCUUGUUGGUGGGGUAAUGGCCUACCAAGGCGACGACGGGUAGCCGGCCUGAGAGGGCGACCGGCCACACUGGGACUGAGACACGGCCCAGACUCCUACGGGAGGCAGCAGUGGGGAAUAUUGCACAAUGGGCGAAAGCCUGAUGCAGCGACGCCGCGUGAGGGAUGACGGCCUUCGGGUUGUAAACCUCUUUCAGCAGGGAAGAAGCGAAAGUGACGGUACCUGCAGAAGAAGCGCCGGCUAACUACGUGCCAGCAGCCGCGGUAAUACGUAGGGCGCAAGCGUUGUCCGGAAUUAUUGGGCGUAAAGAGCUCGUAGGCGGCUUGUCACGUCGGAUGUGAAAGCCCGGGGCUUAACCCCGGGUCUGCAUUCGAUACGGGCUAGCUAGAGUGUGGUAGGGGAGAUCGGAAUUCCUGGUGUAGCGGUGAAAUGCGCAGAUAUCAGGAGGAACACCGGUGGCGAAG